rnacentral:rRNA from 1 species
GUUAAGCGACUAAGCGUACACGGUGGAUGCCCUGGCAGUCAGAGGCGAUGAAGGACGUGCUAAUCUGCGAUAAGCGUCGGUAAGGUGAUAUGAACCGUUAUAACCGGCGAUUUCCGAAUGGGGAAACCCAGUGUGAUUCGUCACACUAUCAUUAACUGAAUCCAUAGGUUAAUGAGGCGAACCGGGGGAACUGAAACAUCUAAGUACCCCGAGGAAAAGAAAUCAACCGAGAUUCCCCCAGUAGCGGCGAGCGAACGGGGAGCAGCCCAGAGCCUGAAUCAGUGUGUGUGUUAGUGGAAGCGUCUGGAAAGGCGCGCGAUACAGGGUGACAGCCCCGUACACAAAAAUGCACAUGCUGUGAGCUCGAUGAGUAGGGCGGGACACGUGGUAUCCUGUCUGAAUAUGGGGGGACCAUCCUCCAAGGCUAAAUACUCCUGACUGACCGAUAGUGAACCAGUACCGUGAGGGAAAGGCGAAAAGAACCCCGGCGAGGGGAGUGAAAAAGAACCUGAAACCGUGUACGUACAAGCAGUGGGAGCACGCUUAGGCGUGUGACUGCGUACCUUUUGUAUAAUGGGUCAGCGACUUAUAUUCUGUAGCAAGGUUAACCGAAUAGGGGAGCCGAAGGGAAACCGAGUCUUAACUGGGCGUUAAGUUGCAGGGUAUAGACCCGAAACCCGGUGAUCUAGCCAUGGGCAGGUUGAAGGUUGGGUAACACUAACUGGAGGACCGAACCGACUAAUGUUGAAAAAUUAGCGGAUGACUUGUGGCUGGGGGUGAAAGGCCAAUCAAACCGGGAGAUAGCUGGUUCUCCCCGAAAGCUAUUUAGGUAGCGCCUCGUGAAUUCAUCUCCGGGGGUAGAGCACUGUUUCGGCAAGGGGGUCAUCCCGACUUACCAACCCGAUGCAAACUGCGAAUACCGGAGAAUGUUAUCACGGGAGACACACGGCGGGUGCUAACGUCCGUCGUGAAGAGGGAAACAACCCAGACCGCCAGCUAAGGUCCCAAAGUCAUGGUUAAGUGGGAAACGAUGUGGGAAGGCCCAGACAGCCAGGAUGUUGGCUUAGAAGCAGCCAUCAUUUAAAGAAAGCGUAAUAGCUCACUGGUCGAGUCGGCCUGCGCGGAAGAUGUAACGGGGCUAAACCAUGCACCGAAGCUGCGGCAGCGACGCUGAUGCGUUG